GAACGCUGGCGGCAGGCCUAACACAUGCAAGUCGAACGGUAACAGGAAGAAGCUUGCUUCUUUGCUGACGAGUGGCGGACGGGUGAGUAAUGUCUGGGAAACUGCCUGAUGGAGGGGGAUAACUACUGGAAACGGUAGCUAAUACCGCAUAACGUCGCAAGACCAAAGAGGGGGACCUUCGGGCCUCUUGCCAUCGGAUGUGCCCAGAUGGGAUUAGCUAGUAGGUGGGGUAACGGCUCACCUAGGCGACGAUCCCUAGCUGGUCUGAGAGGAUGACCAGCCACACUGGAACUGAGACACGGUCCAGACUCCUACGGGAGGCAGCAGUGGGGAAUAUUGCACAAUGGGCGCAAGCCUGAUGCAGCCAUGCCGCGUGUAUGAAGAAGGCCUUCGGGUUGUAAAGUACUUUCAGCGGGGAGGAAGGGAGUAAAGUUAAUACCUUUGCUCAUUGACGUUACCCGCAGAAGAAGCACCGGCUAACUCCGUGCCAGCAGCCGCGGUAAUACGGAGGGUGCAAGCGUUAAUCGGAAUUACUGGGCGUAAAGCGCACGCAGGCGGUUUGUUAAGUCAGAUGUGAAAUCCCCGGGCUCAACCUGGGAACUGCAUCUGAUACUGGCAAGCUUGAGUCUCGUAGAGGGGGGUAGAAUUCCAGGUGUAGCGGUGAAAUGCGUAGAGAUCUGGAGGAAUACCGGUGGCGAAGGCGGCCCCCUGGACGAAGACUGACGCUCAGGUGCGAAAGCGUGGGGAGCAAACAGGAUUAGAUACCCUGGUAGUCCACGCCGUAAACGAUGUCGACUUGGAGGUUGUGCCCUUGAGGCGUGGCUUCCGGAGCUAACGCGUUAAGUCGACCGCCUGGGGAGUACGGCCGCAAGGUUAAAACUCAAAUGAAUUGACGGGGGCCCGCACAAGCGGUGGAGCAUGUGGUUUAAUUCGAUGCAACGCGAAGAACCUUACCUGGUCUUGACAUCCACAGAACUUUCCAGAGAUGGAUUGGUGCCUUCGGGAACUGUGAGACAGGUGCUGCAUGGCUGUCGUCAGCUCGUGUUGUGAAAUGUUGGGUUAAGUCCCGCAACGAGCGCAACCCUUAUCCUUUGUUGCCAGCGGUCCGGCCGGGAACUCAAAGGAGACUGCCAGUGAUAAACUGGAGGAAGGUGGGGGUGACGUCAAGUCAUCAUGGCCCUUACGACCAGGGCUACACACGUGCUACAAUGGCGCAUACAAAGAGAAGCGACCUCGCGAGAGCAAGCGGACCUCAUAAAGUGCGUCGUAGUCCGGAUUGGAGUCUGCAACUCGACUCCAUGAAGUCGGAAUCGCUAGUAAUCGUGGAUCAGAAUGCCACGGUGAAUACGUUCCCGGGCCUUGUACACACCGCCCGUCACACCAUGGGAGUGGGUUGCAAAAGAAGUAGAUAGCUUAACCUUCGGGAGGGCGCUUACCACUUUGUGAUUCAUGA
rnacentral:rRNA from 1 species